rnacentral:rRNA from 1 species
GACGUAGGGCGCAAGCGUUGUCCGGAUUUAUUGGGCGUAAAGAGCUCGUAGGCGGCUUGUUGCGUCGACUGUGAAAACCCGCGGCUUAACUGCGGGCUUGCAGUUGAUACGGGCAGGCUAGAGUUCGGUAGGGGAGACUGGAAUUCCUGGUGUAGGCGGUGAAAUGCGCAGAUAUCAGGAGGAACACCGGUGGCGAAGGCGGGUCUCUGGGCCGAUACUGACGCUGAGGAGCGAAAGCGUGGGGAGCGAACAGG